rnacentral:lncRNA from 1 species
GCAAGCUCUGCCUUCUGGGUUCACGCCAUUUUCUUGCCUCAGCCUCUCCGAGUACCUGGGACUACAGGCGCCCGCCACCACGCCCGGCUAAUUUUUUGUGUUUUUAGUAGAGACGGGCUUUCACCGUGGACUCUAUCUCCUGACCUCGUGAUCCGCCCGCAUAGGCCUCCCAAAGUGCUGGGAUUACAAGCGUGAGCAACCGCGCCCGGCCCCCUUCAGGUAGAAGAAUGCUUCAAGCUUCAGACAAAUUUAAGCAUUCUCACUUGGAAGCACCUUAAAUCCUUGGUGUUCAGAUUUGACAACCGUAAAAAUGUUCGCUAAAGAGGUUUGCGGGGGAUUCCUUGAGCAGCACAAGAUUAUUUUUUUCCCAACAACUAAAAAUAUUUAGUAGGCACUCUGGCCUUUCCCCUUUCCUCAAAUGCUGCACUUGGAAUCAAAUCUUCUAUCAGUUUACCCAUGAGAGGGCAUCUUUAAAUGAAAGAAUCCAGUCUCUAGCUGGAACUUCAAGAAGCAACAAGACAUUGCUUAAAAUUCCCCUAUCUGUUAGAAGGCUAAAACAGUCACUCCUUUGGAGACCAACGCACCUGCAGUUGUCCUGUUUUCUUCUGCCACACCAGCCAUUGUGCAACAUCUGGAUAAGUAGCUACAACACAGCGUCUUUUCCUGUCUUGGGGCUCAGCCUCCCGUGGACCAAAGGGUCAAGUGUUUUGCUUAAUUCCAUGGCCUCCUCUGCUGUCUCUUCCAUCAGUGCUGUCAUUUCCCCAGUUGGAGAGAUGAUGACUAGCCUGGACAAUAGACAAUGUCUUGCUCUGUUGUCCAGGUUGGAGUACAGUGGUGCUAACAUGGCUCACUGCAGCCUCAACCUUCCAGGUUCAAGCAAUCUCCCACCUCAGCCUCCCGAGUAGCUGGGACUACAGGCAUGCACU